AGCCCUACAAUUAAAAAGAAUUGAUCACAUAUUUUACAAGUUGAGAGGAGAAUGCUGGUAGGAUUACCACGGCUCCUCACAGACAGGUUCCUUGGACUGCGCAAGUAAAGCAACAAGAAAACCACAGCUAUAUAAAUACUAAAGCUAAUAUGUAUUAAAAAAAUGGGACAAAUUUGCACCUAAUUUAGAGGGCUGAGUUAUCAUGAAUGGAAUAAAAUAUUAUGGUUUGCAGAUAA